ensembl:lncRNA
CUGCGGGGUGUCCGCGGGGAGCGGCGGCGGAGAGCGGCCCCGGGAGUGCCCCAUCGCUCCCGGCCCCACCGUCAGCCCAGUGCUGUCGCGGUGAGCCCGGCGGGCGUCCGUCGGGGGGUGUCAGCUCCCCCCGUGGUGUCCGUCAUCGGCCCGGUGUCCGCGACAAAGUCCCGGUGUGAACGGUGGCGGUAUCCUUACCUGGAAGAGAGUCUUCGCACAGAACCGUCCUCCUUACAGCAUCAGUCCAGCUGCGGGGACGCUGUUACACCGAGAGCUGUAAUGCAUGCAGCACUGAAAGACCCGAAAUCGGUGCUGAAGGACCUGAAAUCAGCAUGGAAAGACCUGAAAUCCGUGCUGAAGGACCAGGAACCAGAACAGAAAGACCUGAAUUCGAUUCUGAAAGAUCUGAAAUCAGCACGGAGAGACCUGAAAUCAGUGCUGGAAGAUCUGAAAUCAGUGCUGAUAGCUCAGGAAUCAUCACUGAAAGACCUGAAAUCAGUGCUGGAUGAGGUGAAAUCAGGCUUUUAUUCCCACUCCCGUGAGCAAAUGACCCGCGGGCUGCCUGUGGAGUCAGCACAUGCUGACAUUCCCACAAGCACAACGUGAUGCUGCCCUCCGAAUUUGCUCCCCUCCAUUGAGAGCACACGCAGUGCCGAAGCAGCCAUCAGCUCCACACCUCGGCUGCCUGGUGCUGAGGGCUUCAUUACUUCAUUGCCUGUGGGAACGUCCCUUUAAUAUGAAAUGUUUGUCAUAGAUUGCGGAAUUUUUAAACAAAUUCACACAUGAAACACUUGUCUUAGACCUGCCCUCCCCCCACCUCUGUUUGGUGUGGACCUCACUAAGGAAUUCAACUUCAACUCUUUGGAAGUUAAGCUGGUGUGUCUACAAAUUAUUCCACGAGAAGGGGAAAAAAUUGCAGUGAAUAAUAAUCAGCCAUCUGCAGAGCUGGCUGACUACUAGAAAUGUGUUCCCAAAUAGUAAACAGGCCAAAAUUAAUAACAAAUGUUACUUGCAAUGAGUUAUUCUACUAGAUCUUCUCUCAACUUGAUGACAUCUCCUCUCUAUGCAGACACUCACCUCCAAUGUUGGGAUUUCCAAACUGAGACCCACUCAGCAGCAGUGCAACCGGACCCAUACACCUGACGUUUGCAAAUGCACUUCCAGCUCUGUGUUUGGCCAUGCUGCGGUGUUCCAGAUGCCCGGAGUGUCACCAGGCAGCAAUGGGCUCUCAUCUUUUUGUGGGUGGAUUUUGAAGAGUUUGAAGGGUGUCUGG